rnacentral:rRNA from 1 species
UACAGAGGUCUCGAGCGUUAGGCGGAAUCACUGGGCUUAAAGCGUGUGUAGGCGGAUCGUUAAGUACCUUGUGAAAUCCCACGGCUUAACCGUGGAACUGCGUCUGAUACUGGAUGGCUUGAGAUUGGGAGAGGGAUGCGGAAUUCCAGGUGUAGCGGUGAAAUGCGUAGAUAUCUGGAGGAACACCGGUGGCGAAGGCGACAUCCUGGACCAACACUGACGCUGAGGAGCGAAAGCCAGGGGAGCAAACGGG